rnacentral:rRNA from 1 species
UUUUGGACAAUGGGCGCAAGCCUGAUCCAGCCAUUCCGCGUGAGUGAAGAAGGCCUUCGGGUUGUAAAGCUCUUUCGCAAGGGAAGAAAACUUAUCCUCUAACAUAGGAUGAGGUUGACGGUACCUUGAUAAGAAGCACCGGCUAACUACGUGCCAGCAGCCGCGGUAAUACGUAGGGCGCGAGCGUUAAUCGGAAUUACUGGGCGUAAAGCGUGCGCAGGCGGUUAUAUAAGACAGUUGUGAAAUCCCCGGGCUCAACCUGGGAAUUGCAUCUGUGACUGUAUAGCUAGAGUACGGUAGAGGGGGAUGGAAUUCCGCGUGUAGCAGUGAAAUGCGUAGAUAUGCGGAGGAACACCGAUGGCGAAGGCAAUCCCCUGGACCUGUACUGACGCUCAUGCACGAAA